rnacentral:rRNA from 1 species
AUGAACGCUGGCGGCGUGCCUCAUACCUGCCAGUCGAGCGAACGGACGAGAGGCUUGCUUCUCUGAUGUUAGCGGCGGACGGGUGAGUAACACGUGGAUAACCUACCUAUAAGACUGGGAUAACUUCGGGAAACCGGAGCUAAUACCGGAUAAUAUUUUGAACCGCAUGGUUCAAAAGUGAAAGACGGUCUUGCUGUCACUUAUAGAUGGAUCCGCGCUGCAUUAGCUAGUUGGUAAGGUAACGGCUUACCAAGGCAACGAUGCAUAGCCGACCUGAGAGGGUGAUCGGCCACACUGGAACUGAGACACGGUCCAGACUCCUACGGGAGGCAGCAGUAGGGAAUCUUCCGCAAUGGGCGAAAGCCUGACGGAGCAACGCCGCGUGAGUGAUGAAGGUCUUCGGAUCGUAAAACUCUGUUAUUAGGGAAGAACAUAUGUGUAAGUAACUGUGCACAUCUUGACGGUACCUAAUCAGAAAGCCACGGCUAACUACGUG